rnacentral:tRNA from 1 species
GGGCAGUUAGCUCAGUCGGUUAGAGCAUGAUGCUGAUAACACCAAGGUUGUGAGUUCAAUCCCCGUUCCGUCUC